GACGAACGCUGGCGGCGUGCUUAACACAUGCAAGUCGAACGGAAAGGCCUGCUUUCCCUUGUGGAUUGCGGGUACUCGAGUGGCGAACGGGUGAGUAACACGUGAGUGAUCUGCCCCCAACUUGGGUAUAAGCCUGGGAAACUGGGUCUAAUUCCCGAUAGGACUGCAGGGUGGUGCCUGUGGUGGAAAACGAUUUUCUAGUGGUUGGGGAUGAGCUCGCGGCCUAUCAGCUUGUUGGUGGGGUAAUGGCCUACCAAGGCGGCGACGGGUAGCCGGCCUGGGAGGGUGGACGGCCACAUUGGGACUGGGACCCGGCCCAGACUCCUACGGGCGGCAGCAGUGGGGAAUAUUGGACCAUGGGCGGAAGCCUGCUGCAGCGACGCCGCGUGGGGGAUGACGGCCUUCGGGUUGUAAACUCCUUUCGACCGCGAGGAAGCCACCUGGUUGGAAGGGUGGUGACGGUAGUGGUAGAAGAAGCACCGGCUAACUACGUG
rnacentral:rRNA from 1 species